rnacentral:rRNA from 1 species
UACGUAGGGCGCAAGCGUUGUCCGGAAUUAUUGGGCGUAAAGAGCUCGUAGGCGGUCAGUCGCGUCUGCUGUGAAAACUCGAGGCUCAACCUCGGGCUUGCAGUGGGUACGGGCUGACUGAGAGUGCGGUAGGGGUGACUGGAAUUCCUGGUGUAGCGGUGGAAUGCGCAGAGUAUCAGGAGGAACACCGAUGGCGAAGGCAGGUCACUGGGCCGCAACUGACGCUGAGGAGCGAAAGCAUGGGGAGCGAACAGG